AUUGAACGCUGGCGGCAUGCCUUACACAUGCAAGUCGAACGGCAGCACGGGAGCAAUCCUGGUGGCGAGUGGCGAACGGGUGAGUAAUAUAUCGGAAAGUGCCCAGUCGUGGGGGAUAACGCAGCGAAAGCUGUGCUAAUACCGCAUACGAUCUACGGAUGAAAGCGGGUGAUCGCAAGACAUCGCGCGAUUGGAGCGGCCGAUAUCAGAUUAGCUAGUUGGUGAGGUAAAGGCUCAACAAGGCGACGAUCUGUAGCUGGUCUUAGAGGACGACCAGCCACACUGGAACUGAGACACGGUCCAGACUCCUACGGGAGGCAGCAGUGGGGAAUUUUGGACAAUGGGCGCAAGCCUGAUCCAGCAAUGCCGCGUGCAGGAUGAAGGCCUUCGGGUUGUAAACUGCUUUUGUACGGAACGAAACGGCGAGCUCUAAUACAGUUUGCUAAUGACGGUACCGUAAGAAUAAGCACCGGCUAACUACGUGCCAGCCGCCGCGGUAACAC
rnacentral:rRNA from 1 species